GCGUCACGUCGCGCUAUACAUGCAAGUCGAACGAACUCUGGUAUUGAUUGGUGCUUGCAUCAUGAUUUACAUUUGAGUGAGUGGCGAACUGGUGAGUAACACGUGGGAAACCUGCCCAGAAGCGGGGGAUAACACCUGGAAACAGAUGCUAAUACCGCAUAACAACUUGGACCGCAUGGUCCGAGCUUGAAAGAUGGCUUCGGCUAUCACUUUUGGAUGGUCCCGCGGCGUAUUAGCUAGAUGGUGGGGUAACGGCUCACCAUGGCAAUGAUACGUAGCCGACCUGAGAGGGUAAUCGGCCACAUUGGGACUGAGACACGGCCCAAACUCCUACGGGAGGCAGCAGUAGGGAAUCUUCCACAAUGGACGAAAGUCUGAUGGAGCAACGCCGCGUGAGUGAAGAAGGGUUUCGGCUCGUAAAACUCUGUUGUUAAAGAAGAACAUAUCUGAGAGUAACUGUUCAGGUAUUGACGGUAUUUAACCAGAAAGCCACGGCUAACUACGUGCCAGCAGCCGCGGUAAUACGUAGGUGGCAAGCGUUGUCCGGAUUUAUUGGGCGUAAAGCGAGCGCAGGCGGUUUUUUAAGUCUGAUGUGAAAGCCUUCGGCUCAACCGAAGAAGUGCAUCGGAAACUGGGAAACUUGAGUGCAGAAGAGGACAGUGGAACUCCAUGUGUAGCGGUGAAAUGCGUAGAUAUAUGGAAGAACACCAGUGGCGAAGGCGGCUGUCUGGUCUGUAACUGACGCUGAGGCUCGAAAGUAUGGGUAGCAAACAGGAUUAGAUACCCUGGUAGUCCAUACCGUAAACGAUGAAUGCUAAGUGUUGGAGGGUUUCCGCCCUUCAGUGCUGCAGCUAACGCAUUAAGCAUUCCGCCUGGGGAGUACGGGCGCAAGGCUGAAACUCAAAGGAAUUGACGGGGGCCCGCACAAGCGGUGGAGCAUGUGGUUUAAUUCGAAGCUACGCGAAGAACCUUACCAGGUCUUGACAUACUAUGCAAUCUAGAGAUAGACGUUCCCUUCGGGGACAUGAUACAGGUGGUGCAUGUUGUCGUCAGCUCGUGUCGUGAGAUGUGGGUAGUCCGCACGAGCGCAUCCUUAUUAUCAGUUGCAGCAUUAGUGGGCACUCUGUGAGACUGCGUGACAAUCGAGAAGGUGGGAUGACGUCAAUCAUCAUGCCCUUAUGACUGGCUACACACGGC
rnacentral:rRNA from 1 species